AGCGGUGAAAUGCGUAGAUAUCACAUAGAACACCGGUGGCGAAGGCGGCUCUCUGGCCUGAUUCUGACGCUGACGCGCGAAAGCUAGGGUAGCGAACGGGAUUAGAUACCCCGGUAGUCCUAGCCGUAAACGAUGGGUACUAAGUGUAGGAGGUCAUUGACCCCUCCUGUGCUGUAGCUAACGCAUUAAGUACCCCGCCUGGGGACUACGGUCGCAAGACUAAAACUCAAUGUAAUUGACGGGGGCCCGCACAAGCGGUGGAGCAUGUCGCUUAAUUCGAAGCAACGCGAAGAACCUUAUCCAGUGGCUUGACAUCCUUUGACAACUGUGGAAACACAGCUUUCUCUUAUGAGACAAAGUGACAGGUGCUGCAUGGCAGUCGUCAGCUCGUGUCGUGAGAUGUUGGGUUAAGUCCCGCAACGAGCGCAACCCCUGUCUUUAGUUGCCAGCGCGUAAUGGCGGGGACUCUAAAGAUACUGCCGGCUAUAAGCCGGAGGAAGGUGGGGAUGAUGUCAUGUCCUCAUGGCCCUUAUGCCCUGGGCUGCACACGUGCUACAAUGGCCGGUACAACGGGUCGUGAAACCGUGAGGUGGAACCAAUCCCUAAAAACCGGUCCCAGUUGGGAUUGUAGUCUGCAACUCGACUACAUGAACGUGGAAUCGCUAGUAAUCGCGGAUCAGCAGGUCGCGGUGAAUACGUUCCCGGGCCUUGUACACACCGCCCGUCACACCACGAAAGUCGGUGGCAUUCGAAGCCUGUAGGCUAACCUUCGGGAGGCAGCAGUCGAAAGUGAAACCGAUGAUUGGGGUGAAGUCGUAACAAGGUAGCCG
rnacentral:rRNA from 1 species